rnacentral:misc_RNA from 1 species
GCAAACUUGGUCAUUUAGAGGAAGUAAAAGUCGUAACAAGGUUUCCGUAGGUGAACCUGCGGAAGGAUCAUUAUUGAAUUUUGAAGCGGGGCUCUUGAGCUGGCACUGCAGGUGCUCAGAGCCUCCAUUCAUUCCAAUUCAACCCCUGUGCACCUUUGAGAACCGAUAAGUUGGGUACGGAGCACGGUUCAUUUCCUUUUUUGGGUUGAACUUAGUGAAGUGUCCGCUUUCGUUUCUUAUUACACAAACUCUAUAUAUUGUUUUGUAGAAUGUAUCGCCUUUGAUUAGGCAAAGUCUAAAUACAACUUUCAACAACGGAUCUCUUGGCUCUCGCAUCGAUGAAGAACGCAGC